rnacentral:rRNA from 1 species
AUUGAACGCUGGCGGCAGGCUUAACACAUGCAAGUCGAGCGGGGGAAGGUAGCUUGCUACCGGACCUAGCGGCGGACGGGUGAGUAAUGCUUAGGAAUCUGCCUAUUAGUGGGGGACAACAUCUCGAAAGGGAUGCUAAUACCGCAUACGUCCUACGGGAGAAAGCAGGGGAUCUUCGGACCUUGCGCUAAUAGAUGAGCCUAAGUCGGAUUAGCUAGUUGGUGGGGUAAAGGCCUACCAAGGCGACGAUCUGUAGCGGGUCUGAGAGGAUGAUCCGCCAGACUGGGGCUGAGACACGGCCCAGACUGCUACGGGAGGCAGCAGUGGGGAAUAUUGGACAAUGGGGGGAACCCUGAUCCAGCCAUGCCGCGUGUGUGAAGAAGGCCUUAUGGUUGUAAAGCACUUUAAGCGAGGAGGAGGCUACUUUAGUUAAUACCUAGAGAUAGUGGACGUUACUCGCAGAAUAAGCACCGGCUAACUCUGUGCCAGCAGCCGCCGUAA